CGCGCGGCCGCCGCCCCCGUCGGAGCCCCGCUCCAACCCGGGCCCCGUUGUACCUCGGGCCGUCUCUCUUCCCUCACACCUCAGCCCGAACUCGACGCACCCCGGCCCCACCACACCUCAGUGUAACUGUGGUCUAAACUGAGGCUAUGGAGGCAACAAUGAUGGACACAGAACGUAUGGUGCUCCCACUGAUGGGCGAUGCCAAAACAGGCUGUAGCAAUAGCAGAAAUGGCUCUCAUCUGCUGCAAGGAAAAGGUUCCCUUCAGGGAAUCCUCUGCAAUGAUAACCAGAUGGAUGAAAAUAAACGCAUAGGCAUGUGGAAUUCCUGACAUCAGCUGAAUUUAAACUGACAGAUUUCCUUCUCGUUUGUUCUUGUUCGAAACAGUAGUCCUUAUUAGCACUUUUGGGAAGGUACUCAGUAAAUACAGAAGACUGAAAAAGUAUUGUUUACUUUGGCUUUAAUUACAAUAAAUACAGAAAUAAAUAAGUAAAUAUAUUAAAAAGUCUGGUCCUGUAAAUAGGUUGUAAAUAGGGCAGGGUUAUAAUCUGAAAGAAAGAACAACUUUUUCCCAGGAUACAUAGUAAAAUAAAACAUCCAUUCUUCUGUUUAUCUUUUCUUAGCAAUAAUCUAUCAUCACUCAUGGAAUGCACUUACCUAUCAAAAGCGUAAAUGGAUUAAGCCAACAAAUACUUCCCAGAACUCCAAACUAAAUAAAAGACUCAGAAAACAUUGGGAGGCAGCACCAACUACCACCAACACCGACCAGUUCAGGAAUUUUCUGCCAAACAGCAUACAACUUGCUCAGCAAUAAAUCCACUUGCCCUUAUUACCAAUAUCCUAUCCUGUUUUACUUCCAAGGAAAAAAAAAAAAGAAGAAGAAGAAGAAGAAGAAGAAACAAACAAACACAAUACAUCCCAAACCCACAGAGCAAGGACAUGGACAAUGUUUUUUUUGUUUGUUUGUUUGUUUGUUUUUUUUUAUCUCACUGUUAAAACAAAUAAAACUAAAAAUCAGAACCCAAGAAAAUGUUUGCAGACUUUUGUCAGUUCUAGAGUCAUUUACAGACCAUCAUCAAUGCAGGUACCUUGUUGAGAAGGGUGAAACAUCCCCGCCUUGUAAGUGUAUCACAGUUGUGAAGAUAAAAUUCAUUUCCAAAUAUUUCCCUAAGAUUUUCAGAAGCCUGGACUGCCUUAGUGCAAAAUGCACUAAGACCCCAGCAUUUCAUCUAGCUGUCUAAAAUAUUAAAAUAAACUUUUCAUAUAUGCCAUAUUUGAAUACAUUCUUCUCUAAGUGCACUUUGGAGUGCUUGCCCCACAUUAGCAAUGGUAGUUAUGGUAUACUGCUAUUUACUGGUGCUCACGAGAAUGCCUGGAAGGAUUUCAUCUGAAGGUUUAGGUGACAUCCAAAGUUACUGGACGCUUCAGCAGCUGAAAUAGAAAUGCUGUUCAGCUCCCUGGCCGUCUUCUCUAGACCGUGCCUCUAACAAGAAGAGUACACUUGCACGCGUUGUUGAACUACAGUAGGACAGGACAGUGAUUAAAGUAAUGAAGCAGAGUGAAGUAUCUCUCUUGUAACAUGCAUUAAAUAUGGAAUGGAAUGUGAAGGGAAAUAAGAUGAAUUUUGUAUAGCUCACCUUAACUAAGUCGUGUCCCCGCAGAAAUUAAUUUGAAUACUAAAAGCAUGUAUAAACAUUGUCUGAGCUUACUCUCAGUGCCCUGUUCAAGCCAGAUGCACUGUCCUGGGUCUGUUAACCCUAGGUGUUUGAAUACAUUCUCCUAUUCAUCCAGCUGGCUGUCACUUUGUAUCUUGCAAGUGUUUAACAGCAAAUUCUAUGGAUGUUAAGUUACAUUUUAGCACCUUUCCAAACAUCUGCCAGCCAGCACACAAUGUUCCAGCCCGACCACACGCUUCUGAAUUUCACACUACUCCAGUGGGUUCCACUGUGUUCUAUUGCAUUAAGACUAGGGAGCACCACGUCUUUGCCAGCCCCUUGUUUUACUUUGGUUUGUAGUCCCCCAGAGCAGUGAAGGUCAGCAUGUUUGUUCCAGCAAGACUUAUUUUUCUUAAAAAAAAAAAAAAAAAUAAUAAUAAUUAAAAAAUAAAACAAAAGUACUCAUUUAUGUGGAUUUCACAUAGUAGUGGUAUCGACAACUGAUGAUUUCGUGAUUUUAUAUCCCUUGGGAUAUAAAAUAUCCAUUUUGCUCAAACACUGCUCCUAGAGGUGCUAUGUGUACGAGUUAUUGGAGCUGUUUGUGGUUUUGUUCAUUUGUUUGGUUUAGAUUGCUUUGAGUGGGGUUAAUUCAGUGGAGACCUACAUAAGAUACAACCUGCUGCUUCUCCUGGAGAACGUUACGGUGUACCGCAUACCUUCAGCAGGAUCUCUCACCUCACUCUGCACAUUCAGAUCUCUUUCCUUUUCACAUCUGACGCUGAUGAUGACUGUGAAAACAUAUCUGUAACAGCGUACAAUAAAAACAUUCACAGUUCUACCAUCAGAAGAAAUAAAAAUGAAUGUAGUCCAACUUCCAGGAUUUUAAAUUAAGAACGUAAAGUGAAUUUCAUCACCAAAGUCUUCACAGAGUACUUGUUUCCUUAACUAGAUGUAACUAAAAUCUUACUGGAAGUCUUCCACGUUUAUAAGACACGUGAACGUAAUCCUGAGCAACACCGUAGAGAAGUGUUUGUAAAGCUACGCUUCAGAUUUCACCAGUUGGCAAUUUUCUCAUCUGCAUCAUUAACCCAUUUGGGCAUUUGUUACAUCACUACUCCCAUAUUUCCACUGCUGUCUUUGGUCACGUUGUCUCUGAGGUACAGAGCUUUUACAGGUUUAACAAACCUUUAUUUUUUUUUUUCCUGCAG
ensembl:lncRNA